rnacentral:rRNA from 1 species
GGCUCUGGCAUCGAUGAAGAACGCAGCGAAAUGCGAUAAGUAAUGUGAAUUGCAGAAUUCAGUGAAUCAUCGAAUCUUUGAACGCACAUUGCGCCCGCCAGUACUCUGGCGGGCAUGCCUGUCCGAGCGUCAUUUCAACCCUCAGUUCCCCCCUUCCGGGGGGUGAGCUGGUGUU